rnacentral:rRNA from 1 species
AGAUCAUCAAUGGGUUUAAAGUGCACGCAGGCGGUUUGUUAAGUCAGAUGUGAAAUCCCCGGGCUCAACCUGGGAACUGCGUUCUGAACUGGGUGACUAGAGUGUGUCAGAGGGAGGUAGAAUUCCACGUGUAGCAGUGAAAUGCGUAGAGAUGUGGAGGAAUACCGAUGGCGAAGGCAGCCUCCUGGGAUAACACUGACGUUCAUGCCCGAAAGCGUGGGUAGCAAACAGGAUUAGAUACCCUGGUAGUCCACGCCCUAAACGAUGUCGAUUAGCUGUUGGGCAGCAUGACUGCUUAGUAGCGAAGCUAACGCGUGAAAUCGACCGCCUGGGGAGUACGGUCGCAAGAUUAAAACUUAAAUAAAUUGACGG